rnacentral:misc_RNA from 1 species
GUGAAUCAUCGAAUUUUUGAACGCAAAUUGCGCUCUCUUCGGAGAGGAUGCCUGUUUGAGGGUCAGUAUUAAUAAAAAUCGGAGUGUUGCUUCUUUUUGACGCUCCGGAGUUUGGGUCAUCUUAAUAUCCUUGAGGUUUUAAGAGGCUUAAAAUGGUCUUUUUUUCCGCAUUUUAGAUGUACUUAAGUUCUUUUUUUUAUUAGUCUGUCUUCAUUCUCACAA